rnacentral:rRNA from 1 species
UACGUAGGGUGCGAGCGUUAAUCGGAAUUACUGGGCGUAAAGCGUGCGCAGGCGGUUUUGUAAGCCAGAUGUGAAAUCCCCGGGCUCAACCUGGGAAUGGCAUUUGGGACUGCAAGGCUCGAGUGCGGCAGAGGAGACUGGAAUUCCUGGUGUAGCAGUGAAAUGCGUAGAUAUCAGGAGGAAUACCGAUGGCGAAGGCAGGUCUCUGGGCUGACACUGACGCUGAGGAGCGAAAGCGUGGGGAGCGAACAGG